UUCUUCGUUUCCAAACCGGCGGUAAAACGAACAAAAAAGAAAAGGGCGGAAAAAGGAAACCCUGCUACGAACUAGGGUUUUUUUUUGUUCUUCUAAUUUUCACUUCAAUUCAAGGGAUGAUAAUUCCCUAAUUUUCCUUUUCCCGAGUUCUUCUAUCCUCCUACUAAUCCACUCUCCGUUGGUUCCUCCUCUGCCAGAAGUUCGUAUUCGGCAUGGCUCGGCUGAUGGGAAGCUUAACUUAUCGAAUUCUUCGGGGGUGUAUGACAUUCCGACUGUUUCGCACGGAGCGGCUUUCCCGACAGCAGACAGAAAGUUGGCUUCUUUAUGGUUAUCAUAGUGCUACUACCGAUAAAUUUAGGACGGGGGAAGAAAUGGAAAUAUAGUUUUGGUUUUUGGGUCUUCGUAGAUAUCGAAUACGUCCUCUGAUAUGAUUGGGUGACUGGAUUAUGUCUGGAAGAAACCGUGGACCGCCUGUCCCACUAAAUGGCGUGCCUCAUGGUGGACUACCACCAGUUCGUGAACCUCCUUUUGGCAGAGGCCUUGGGCCAAUGCCACAUCCAGCGCUUCUCGAGGAAAUCAGAGAAACACAGUAUGGAAUGCAUCCAGGACCCCUUCCUCCACACCCUGUAAUUAUAGAGGAGCGUCUUGCUGCCCAGCAUCAAGAUAUUCAAGGUCUUCUUCUUGACAACCAGAGACUAGCUGCAACCCAUGUUGCACUUAAGCAGGAACUAGAAGCAGCCCAGCAUGAGCUACAACGCAUGGCUCAUAUUGCUGAUUCCUUACAUGCAGAAAGGGACAUUCAGAUGAGAGAAUUGUAUGAAAAAUCAGUAAGACUAGAGGUAGAUCUGCGUGGAGUUGAGACUAUGCGGGCGGAGCUUCUUCAAGUUCAUUCUGAUGUCAAGGAAUUAACUGCUUCAAGGCAGGACCUCACAGGUCAAGCACAAGCAAUGACACAAGAUCUAACUAGAAUUACUGCUGAUUUGCAGCAAGUCCCGGCUUUGAGGGCAGAAAUUGAAACUGUAAAGCAGGAAUUACAUCGUGCCAGAGUUGCCAUUGAGUAUGAAAAGAAGGGAUAUGCAGAGAAUUAUGAACAUGGCCAGGUAAUGGAGAAGAAACUGGUUUCAAUGGCCAGGGAGUUGGAGAAACUUCGAGCUGAGGUUGCUAAUUCGGAGAAGAGAGCUCAUGCUUCUGCUGUUGCUGUUGGAAAUGCUGCUGCAGGGUAUGGUGCAAAUUAUGGCAAUGCUGAUGCUGGAUAUGCUGGAAAUCCAUAUUCAUCAAACUAUGGCAUGAACUCCGUACAGUCUGGUACAGAUGGUUAUCCUCCAUAUGGAGCUGGAUCUGUUUCCUGGGGUGCAUAUGACAUGCAACGAGCUCAAGGACACAGAUAGGCCAGUGCACCAUAUCCAUCCAAGAUGUGUCUUGUGGAGGGCCUGAGGUUCAAAGCACAAAGCAUUGAUAAUUAGUUGCAGGUUUGUGGACCCUCGUGAUCUGUUUCAUUUAUGGUUAUGAACUGAUCUCAGAUUGUACUAAGGUGGUAAUUUUACAAUAGCGAUGUAAGCUGAAUUCCAAUAUCGUCCAUCUACAGUUGCUGCCCCUUGCAGCCUCAACGAACAAUACGUUCCAUCUUAUGAAGCAAAGUUCGAUACGGGAUUAAUUUCUCUUUGUUGCAUAAAUUUGUCACAGAGCAGCUUGUGCUCACAAAAUUUAUGGCUACCAGUGGUUGGUUCAUUCCCUCUGCCGAAAAAAUCUGCUCUGAACCUCCAAAGUCAGUUCACGAGUUUUCUUAUUCACUGUUUCAAAAGGUGGAGAACAGUUUGAUACAUUUUCCCUGUGGUUCUCCAACUUUCACCUAUGUCCUGUACGUUACCACUCGUUUACAUUGACAUAAAAAAGGAGAUAUCAAGGGAUCAUCAUUCUUCCACUGGGUGCAGGUGCAUGAACCACGACUUCAAGCGUCACACAUCCGUUGACUACCUACCGUUUAAGUGUCAGAAUCGGUGUAUGGAAAGCUUGGCUACAUUGCCUCAUGACAAAACAGGUUUGGCAGAGUUUAAUACAAAUUUUAUCCCCUUCCAGUUUCAUUUUUGAAUUAGGGUAGGUUUUGGAGUUGGGUGAAAUAAAAAACAAAUUAAAGCUUGUUGGCACUUGUUUUUCUGAAAUUUGUCACCCGUGGCUGUGCUUCCAAAUCACACAAAUGAUUGUUUGUCACAGUUUGAUGAUAUUUUUACAUAUGUUAGUCUAUAAUUCUCAUUUGAACUACCAAUAUAUGAGAUCAGGUUUUAUAGUGAUU